rnacentral:rRNA from 1 species
UACGGGGGGGGCAAGCGUUGUUCGGAAUUACUGGGCGUAAAGGGCUCGUAGGCGGCCAACUAAGUCAGACGUGAAAUCCCCAGGCUCAACCUGGGAACUGCGUCCGAUACUGGAUGGCUUGAAUCCGGGAGAGGGAUGCAGAAUUCCAGGUGUAGCGGUGAAAUGCGUAGAUAUCUGGAGGAAUACCGGUGGCGAAGGCGGCAUCCUGGACCGGUAUUGACGCUGAGGCGCGAAAGCCAGGGGAGCAAACGGG